rnacentral:rRNA from 1 species
UACGAGAGGUGCAAACGUUAUUCGGAAUCAUUGGGCGUAAAGGGUGUGUAGACGGUAAAAAAAGUCGGUUAUUAAAUUUCUUGGCUCAACCAAGAGUGUGUGAUCGAAACUGAUUUUCUUGAGGGUGGAAGAGAGAAGUGGAAUUCUCGGAGUAGCGGUAAAAUGCGUAGAUCUCGAGAGGAACACCGAUGGCGAAGGCAGCUUCUUGGUCCAUUUCUGACGUUGAAACACGAAAGCGUGGGGAG